rnacentral:tRNA from 1 species
GCUGGAGUAACUCAGUUGGUAGAGUACAUCACUCGUAAUGAUGAAGUCGAGAGUUCAAGUCUCUUCUCCAGCUCCA